rnacentral:lncRNA from 1 species
CUUGGAUAAUAACUAAAGCUGGAAUCUGAUGAAUACUCCCUUUGUUUCUUCUCAAGGUGAGUGAGAAAUAUUGACUUUUAAGAAAUGUACCUGCUUGGGGCAUUCUGCCCAACAGACUGUGGGAUGAUCCAAGGUCAGGAGGCAGGAGCCUUGGGCCCUCAACCAGCUGAUGACUGGAAGGGCCCUCACCCCCAUCACCGUCUUCCUGCCUGAUUUCUCUUCCAUAUUUGACAUGAGAAAGAAGCAAGAAGUUGAAGAUGUUAUUUAUGGUUCGAAGUAGCUGAGAUUCUUAGCAGAUAGAGGUAAGUUUGAAAGUCAUUCCGACUAAUCCUUUCCAUACUAUGUGCAUGUGCUUGGGGAAGCAAUGAGGACAUGUACCGUGGCUCCCGAAGAUUCCAAGCCCAUUGCAAACAGAAGAAGCAAGACACAACCAGCUCACUUCAGCUGUCAGAUUCACAAAGUAGGCUGGAGAGAGUUAAUUCCAAAAGGGGGCUGAGCCGGCUGGUAUCUUAUGGGCCAAGGUUCCAUACAGGGAGAUGGAAGAACCCGGCGGAGGAACCAUGCACGACUUACAAUACAGGAAAGGCAGAAUUCUAUGCCUGCAGGUGGGGGCAAAGAUGAGCUGAGGAAAAUGGGGCAAAAGGGUUGCCUCAUUCAGGGUUGGAUGUCAGGACCCCAGGUUCUACCCUGUAUGUUUUCUGACCCUAUGUUACCCGGUUACCAAAAAGGCAAAGGAAAUUAGGAAGGGUCUGAAACUCCAUCAAGUAUGGUAGAGCAGUAGGGUUGGCAAAUUCUAGUUUUGAAUUGAGUAGCAUAACUGAGCAUUAAUUUUCUUACUAUUUCUGUAACUGCAAACAGCCCCAAUCAUUUGAGCAAGUCUGUGUCAUGACUUUGGAGGACCUGGAUAUUCUUGGCAAUGUUGGUGUGCUACAGAUUUCAGUGAUUCAGGAGUACACUGUACCAUUCUAAACCCCUUGUCUUCAAUUUGUCUCCCAAUAAUAAAUAAUGUAAACAAUACUAAAAUUAAAUGAAAGCCAAUUUUACAAGAAAACAAACAAAACCCUAAACAUUAAAAUGACAGAAGAGUCCCCAAACAGAAUAGAAAGCCCGGGAGUAGUGGCCUCACCAUGGUAAAUCAUCGGUACAAACAGGUUCUAAUAAACCAUUCAGUGUGAUAAAGGGGCACUAUUAAGUUACAAAGCCCAGAAGGCUCUGCCAUUGCUUCUACCAUGGAGUGAAUAGGUUAAAAAACUUUAAAUGGGAUUGCCAAGGCUUUCUACAGUGAAAAUGUUGUACCAUCAGCAGAUAAUAUGCCUUUAGUAAUGUAUCCGAAAGGACACUAAUACAAAUUAGAAGUAUCUAUGAGGUUAGACAAUCUGGUUUGGCUCAUUCAAAAAAUUAGAGAGGCAUAGCUGGAAAGAAAACAAGUUUUAGAGAAAAAGAUCCUAAUAAAAGCCUUUUUGGGAUAAUGGCAUUAAAUUUUCCUAUUGAGUAGAAGCUUCUAAAAGAAAAGCAACUUGUCAAUGUUCGUUUAAUAACAUUUUUUGGUACCUCCAGUGUGCUAGACACUGCUCAGUACUGCUGUCCUGUGAAUGUUGCUGUGUUUGUUCAUAAUGUAAACUACUAUACAUCCAAACUGGGCAGUUACUGUUUCUUUCAUGUUGUUUCAUGCAAUGCUUCAAAGUAAAAAGGCCACUCUAAAAAAAGUUUUGAUUCAUUAUUUUGACAUUCCUUGUCUGUAUGAUUUAAACCCCUUUCUAAUCUUUAGCUCAAGAAGGUCAACAGAAAAGAAAUGCAUUCAGGAAACUAACAUUUUUAUAUCUGAAUUGUUAGUCUUGUCAGCAUUAUGUAAGAGAUAAGACAAUUUAUCUCUAAAAUUAUCUUAUAGGUAUUACCUGAUGACCUGACAUGGGAUUUAGUAACAAUAUUUGAAAAUGAAGUUAAGUGACAAUAGAUCUCCAACACCACACUCCUGUCAUGCUUUUAAUUAUGUUAAUUUAAGUCUAAUGGAAAAUGAACUCUUAUUUCCAUGGUACUCUGUACUAUUGUUUCCUUAAAUGGGGUUCAAGAAUAAAAGCACAAAUUUCACUGGAAAAAAGUUAUUUAUGAUAUUAUACUCUUUUUUGUGCUUUCUCAUAAAAUCUAAUUUUUUUUGCAUUUAUUUUUACUUUAUGCAUGUUUUAUUUUAGUAGUUGAAAAAAACUCAAUCAUAAUGACAAAAUUUCCUGGUGUGACUCACAACAUUGCUUGGCAUCUCUUAUGGUAAAAGUUGAUGCAACUUAGAAUUGUCCCUGAAGGUGUCUUUUACUUAUUUUCUUGGGAUGACCACCAAAAGGGGUUGGGUUUUGCAAUGGAUUGGAAAUGUUAAUAAUCCUGACCUUGCUUGGGAAUCUGGGAUUAACCCUGUGUGUGCAUAUGUGAGUUUAUGUGUAGUUUUUGUGUGUGUGUGUGUGUGUGUGCUGUGUGCGUGUGAUGGGCAGAUUCACCAGAUUAAGUUCUUAGUAUCUCUUUUUCAGAAUAGGCAUAGGUCUAAGUA